UAUUUCACAAUGGGGGAAACCCUGAUGCAGCGACGCCGCGUGUGUGAAGAAGUCUUUCGGUAUGUAAAGCUCUUUCAGCAGGGAAGAAAAUGACGGUAUCUGAUUAAGAAGCCCCGGCUGACUACGUGCCAGCAGCCGCGGUAAGACGUAGGGGGCAAGCGUUAGCCGGAUUUACUGGGUGUAAAGGGAGCGUAGACGGCAGCACAAGUCUGGAGUGAAAUGCCGGGGCUUAACCCCGGAACUGCUUUGGAAACUGUGCAGCUAGAGUGCAGGAGAGGUAAGUGGAAUUCCUAGUGUAGCGGUGAAAUGCGUAGAUAUUAGGAGGAACACCAGUGGCGAAGGCGGCUUACUGGACUGUAACUGACGUUGAGGCUCGAAAGCGUGGGGAGCAAACAGG
rnacentral:rRNA from 1 species